UACGGGGGGGGCAAGCGUUGUUCGGAAUUACUGGGCGUAAAGGGCUCGUAGGCGGCCAACUAAGUCAUACGUGAAAUCCCUCGGCUUAACCGGGGAACUGCGUCUGAUACUGGAUGGCUUGAGUUCGGGAGAGGGAUGCGGAAUUCCAGGUGUAGCGGUGAAAUGCGUAGAUAUCUGGAGGAAUACCGGUGGCGAAGGCGGCAUCCUGGACCGACAUUGACGCUGAUGAGCGAAAGCUAGGGGAGCAAACGGG
rnacentral:rRNA from 1 species